rnacentral:rRNA from 1 species
GAUCNGGCUCAGGAUGAACGCUAGCUACAGGCUUAACACAUGCAAGUCGAGGGGCAGCAUGUUGGUUGCUUGCAACCAAUGAUGGCGACCGGCGCACGGGUGAGUAACGCGUAUCCAACCUACCCUUGUCCAUCGGAUAACCCGUCGAAAGGCGGCCUAACACGAUAUGCGGUUCACAGCAGGCAUCUAACGUGAACGAAAUGUGAAGGAGAAGGAUGGGGAUGCGU